rnacentral:lncRNA from 1 species
GCCAGUCUAAGCCCAUCCUCGUUUCAGCCUUCUCGCCUGGCCCAAAACCCCCAUAUCCGCCCCAGCCCAGUUCCUGCCUGGCCCAACACCCAUUUUUUAAAAUUAAAACUAGACCCGCCCCAUUUCCUAACCUAGAUCAAAAAACCUAAGAAGACCCCCCUCUGUAAAAAGAAAAAUGAUAAAUGGCGCACCCCUCCCAUCUUGAAAGAGAUCAGAUUCCCCCAUUUUUGGAAAUCCCAGCACUGUCUUCUUCCCCUCUAAUUCCAUUUCUCUGAAGAACAACCCCAGAUCCUCACUCUCAAAAGAUACACGCAUUCAAAACACCGGCCAACAUACGAAAUUGAGGCUGAUAUUAAAAGACCAUUUUUGAGAUUUUGGAAUAAAGGUUUCGAAAAAAAGAGACAGAUGAGAAUCAAAAGCAAUGUUCUUAAAAUACUCUCAUAUUAUUGUGUUUUAUUCCACACUUUUGGGUUUUAAAGAGAAGUCCAUUCAAAUCGUCGUUCGAUUUCGCUGCUUUUGCUAUCGCUGUGUUGCCAUUGUUUCUGUUGUUGGAGCUUCCCCUCAAUUUCAGAACUCUUUUCGGUCAAAUUUAAUUGUUCUUGAUGUUAGGUAGGUGGAUUCACUCCUUUUAUACUUUGCCUUAAAUUAAAUAAUAAAAUGAUGGUAUAAUAUAUAAAUUGGUCUGAGUUUGUUAAUGAGAAUGAAUGCCUAUUCUUAUUUCAUGGUCAGAUACAUCUGAAUUUUAUCACUGACAAAUGGAGUCGAAGGUUUGUGAUUGUGAAAGUGUUUGGACGAAACAUAAACUUUGAUAUUUUUAUUUGAAUGGACUAUUUGGUUUUUUUUUUGACUGAUUUUUCUAGGUUUCAGUGUGAAACUAUAUUUGAAUUAUUAGACUCCUUUUCGAGUUCAACAUUCUUGUGCCCUAUGUUGAGACACACAACCCAAACUUUAAUUUGCCUUAAUUAUUAAUUUUGUUAGGCUUGUUUUGACCGUAAAUCUCGUGUUAAACUUUAUGCAUACCAUUUGGAAUUCAUGAAUCAAGCUCUCAGUUCAUUUCAAGUGUCUGUUAUUAUAGAAGUCUUCAUUAGGCAUGUGAAUCUUUGUGAAACUAUUCUUAAUGUUUGGAUAAUUCUUGAUUCCAUUUUUGACGUAUUCUUUCAUCGUAAUUUGUGUCAUUUUGUAACAUCCUACUUGUUUACGUUCAUGCAAACUAUUGGAGACAUUAAGUUAAAAUUGGAUGUUUGUUGAACCAGAAUAUUAUUAUUUUUGAAUUUUCUCAAUCUUCACUUAUUCAUCCACAUUGACUAUCCAUAAUUUGUGUCCUUGCAAUAACCUCAAGUUAGUUCUUUUAGGAGAAUUAUGAACACCUGUAGUUUGCUUUAGGCAUGUUAAUAAUAAUCAUCAUGACUAUGGAUACGGUUCCCGCGGCAUGGUCACGAUACGUAAAUCCCAAUUCGGGAGUGUAUUUCAUGUGACCCCGACCAUAACUUCAAACAAUAAUUAAAAUAAACAUGUUGUAAAUUGCGGGUACAUUUCAUGUGACGCAAUUCGCUAUGUGUUCAAAACAAUAAGUGCGUGAUAUUGUGACUUAUUUAAAUAAACUCCGUAAAUAAUUAAAAGCGGUAUAAAGUUAAAAUGCACAAUAGGUUUAAAACAUGUAAUUAAUAAGAUAAUUAGACCAAUUAUUAAUAGUUGAGCGACCAUACUAAAACUAUGGAACCCGGAAAUGCCUAACACCUUUUCCCGAGUUAACAGAAUUCCUUAUCCGGUCUUCUGUGUUCGUGGACCAAAAAUAGAGUCAAUUUUUCUCGAUUUGGGAUUUAAAAUGAACCGGUGACUUGGGACAACAUAAAUUAUUCCAAGUGGCGACUAUUAAAUUAAAUAAAUAAUCCCAUUUCAUUUAAUGUCACUUUAAUUUAAAAAACUCUCUUAUAUCCCCCAUCGGGUAAAAAGGAGGUGUGACAGCCCGUGCAAUUCGAAAACCUUUGUUUGCAGAUGAAUGCACUACCAAGCAUACAAGAAUCUUCUAUGCAUGGAUGCUGAUCAAAGUCAAUGUAACAAAAACCCUGCCUACAGAGAUAGUUGUUAUGAAUCCUAGAGGCAGGAAAUUCUAAUAGUAGUUGGUGUAUGAGUGGAAGCCUAACUAUUGUUACAAAUGCAAAAAGAUUAGGCACAUAUGCCCUACUCAACAAGGGCCUAAAUUGCAGCAGAAUGAGCAACCAAAACGAAUAAGAUAACAAAAGAAAAAUAACAUAUGAUCGAGAUCUAAACGACCAGUGGGGGUUGAAACUACCAACAAAGUGAAUAAGCCACAAACUCCCAUAUCAUAACAACAAGAACAGGUUAGCUUAGCAGUGGUAACUCUGGAAGCUAACUUGUCACAUGAGACUAGAAGGAUUCAUGAGAUUACUGGACAUGAGGCUACAAGAAUGAGAUCAACAGGUAAAGGCAAAAGGGUGGAAACCCAGUGAUGAACUUAAAAAGUUUUCCUUUACUAUCAUCUCCUGUAAAUAUGAAUAGCCUCCAUAAAGGGUCUACGAGUACUAGUGUGAGCUCCUCUAUACCUCAUGACAGAGGUGGGGGAACUCACAAGACUCUAUGACUUGGCUAAUAUAGAAUGUCAGGAGCAUCAAUAAGUGGUACAAGCAGAAAGAGCUGAAGAACUAUCUUAAAGCUAAAAACAUAAAGCUUGCUGGUAUCAUAGAAACUCGAGUUAAGGAACAUAAUAUAAAGAAAGUAUGCUCCCAUAUUGCCCCUGACUGGGAAAGUUUGCACAAUUACACAUGUACAACUAAUGGGAGAAUAUGGCUAAUAUGGCCAUAUAUUAUAAAGUUACUCUAAUUAGAGCAGAAGCACAAGUUGUUCAUUGCCUAGUUAAUGAAAUCAUAGGAGAUCAGGAAUGUAUACUUACAAUGGUCUAUAGAUGCAACACUAUUGAGCAAAGGAAACAAUUGUGGGCUAACCUAAUUGAGAUUGGUCAGGGGGUCAACAAACCAUGGAUCCUUGGAGGAGAUUUCAACUCUGUAUUGUAGCUUCAAGACAGGAUAAAUGGAAAUCAGGUAAACCUUGAUGAGUUCAUGACUUCACAAAGUGUGUUCAAGAUUUAGGUAUUAAUGAAUUGACAUAGGAAGAGGAUUACUACAGUUAGUCUAACAAACAAGAUGAAGUGGAUAGAAUUUGGAGCAAAAUUGAUAGAAUAUUUGGCAACUAUGAAUGGAUGAUGUAGUGGGGACACAUCACUACUGUAUAUGAUAUUCCUUUCAUAUAUGAUUAUGUCUCUAUGAGCUUGAACCUCACAGUAGACCAGGGCAGCAAUAGAAUUCCUUUAAAGUUCAUUAAUAUAUGGGCUAAACAUGAAACCUUUCUAUGUAUUGUACAACAAGUUUGGAAUCAGAUAGUGUACAGGUGGACAAUGUAGGACAUGUGGGUGAAAUUGAAGAAACUCUGGACAUUACUUAGGAAACUUAAUAUUGAAGAGUUUAAAUUCAUCAGACAGAAGAUUGCUACAGCUAGGAAUGAGCUUCUCAUAGUUCAAAAGAGCAUUAAUGCUAGUUGUACUGACGAGCUGAAUGAGAAGGAGAAGAAUCUUAUCCAAAGCCUAGAAAAAUGGGAUAUGCCAAAAGAAGGAGCCUCAAGGCAAAAAUCUAGAGCUAAAUGGAUAAAAUUAGGUGACUCUAAUACAAGGUAUUCUACAGUUGUGAUAAAGGAAAGGCUCCACAUGAAGCAGAUCAAGAAACCACAUUCACUUGCAGGUUGUAGACUAACUGAUCCAGAAGCUAUAACAGUAGAGAUUGUUGAGUUUUAUAAAUCACUCAUAGGGACUGCUGCUCACUCACUACAUGCAAUAAACAAGUUGGUAAUGUAAAAGGGACCAAAUCAUUCGCAACAACAAAGAAUGGAACUUUGUAAAGAUGUAACUGAAGAAGAGAUCUAUGAAGGACUAUGCUCCAUUAAAGAAGAUAAAGAACUAGGAAUAGAUAGUUACAAUGCAUGUUUUUUCAAGAAGGCAUGAUCUGUUAUCAAAAAGGAAGUCAUAGAAGCUUUGUUAGAUUUCUUUUCUACAAGCAGAACGUACAGAGCUAUCAAUUACACUGCCAUCACAUUAGUGUCUGAGACUGCCAAGCCUAAAACUGUAAAGGAGUUUCGACCAAUUACCUGCUGCAUUCUGCUGCAAGAUCAUCUCUAAGGUUCUGGCAGCUCAACUACAAGCUGUCAUUCCCAAUGUUAUAAAUGAAGCUCAGACUGUAUUCAUCCCAGAGAGAAGAAUUGUAGACAAUAUAAUCCUAGCUCAUGAACUAGUGAAGGCCUACUGUAGAAAAUAUAUCUUACCUAGAUGCAUGAUCAAGAUAGACCUUUAGAAAGCGUAUGGUUUUGUGGAAUGGCAUAUAUAAGACAAGUCAUGGAAGAGAUGGGAUUCCCUUAGUUAUUUACCUCAUGAAUAAUGGAAUGUAUUCAAACUGUCAACUACUCCAUCAUUUUUAAUGGAGAGACAAGAGUUCCCUUUAAUGUUGCUAAAGGAUUAAGACAAGGUGAUCCAGUGUCACCUUUCUUAUUUGCGAUUAUAAUGGAGUUCUUGAGCAGAAAUCUUAAUUGUCUUAAGGAAGUCAGAGAGUUCAAAUAUCACCCUAAGUGUGAUAAGCUGGGGACAACUCACCUUUGCUUUGUUGAUGAUCUACUGCUAUUUACCAGAGGUGAUAUCAAUUCUAUAAAGGCAAUAAAACAGAAAUUUCUACAAUUCACUUAGGUAUAUGGACUGCAGGCAAACAUGAACAAAAGUGAAGUCUACUUUGAUGGAGUUCCUACAGAGCAUAAACAGCAGAUUUUGUAGCAGUUAGGAUUCACAGGUGUAGAAUCCCCCUUUAACUACCUUGGAGUUCCAUUACCUACAAAGAAACUCAGUAUACUGCAGUGGCAAUCCCUUAUAGACAAAAUGAUUGCAAGGAUCACUUCUUGAACUGCAAAGACACUAUCCUAUGCCAGGAGGGUACAAUUAUUACAGAGUGUAUUAUUUGGAAUUCAGGCUUUCUGGGCUCAGCUGUUUGUGAUACCUACCAAGGUGGUUAAGUUAAUUGAAAUAAUGUGUAGAUCAUAUAUCUGGUCAGGUGGUAAUGUAAUCAUAAAAAAAGCUUCGGUUGCAUGGGAUAGAUUGUGUUUGCCCAAGGCUGGAGGUGGACUCAAUAUCACCAACCUAAGGAUUUGGAAUCGUGCAACAAUAGCCAAAACUUGCUAGGAUUUGGCACAUAAGCAGGAUAAACUGUGGAUUCGAUGGAUUCACACAUACUAUAUUAAGGGUCAGAUGUUCACCAUUUGGACAACACCACAUCAAGCUUGUUGGAUGGUCAGGAAAGUGUUUGAGGCCAAGGAAGUUCUAGAGAAUCAACAGUAUAUGCAGUCACACAAGAAAAGUUUAAUCAGGCAAAUAUACUUGACUCUCCUUGGUGAUUAUAGUCCAAUGGAAUGGAAAAGCUUAUUGUUUAGCAAUGCAGCACGACCAAAAGCUAAAUUCUCAAUGUGGCUCAUGAUGCAUGAAAAGCUAUUAACUUCUGAAAGAUUGUGUAAAAUGGGGACUCAAUGUGGAUACACAAUGUGUACUUUGUCAAAGGCGGGAGGAAAAUAGAGAACACUUAUUUAUGCAGCGCGAGUACACUAAAAGUGUUUGGAACAAACUACUUCAAUGGAUGCAACAUCAAUGCCCUAGAACCAGAGAUUGGCAGCAACAUAACCAGUGGAUUAUCACAUGUUCUAAAGGCAAAUCUCAGCAGGCACAAGUGUUGAAGAUGGUAUUUGCACAAGCUGUGUAUCAGAUUUGGAUUGAAAGGAACCUUAGAGUUUUUGAACAAAGAAGCAGACAAUUAGGAAUUAUUGCGAAGGAGGUUGCUUAUAUAUGCAGCGCACGAGUGCUACCUGGAUCACGAACCUAUCUGCAUAGUCUCCAGUUUGAAUAGGUUGUUUUGUAUUUCUGGCAUUUCUUUAGUAGAUAGUUUUUAGAACUUAAUUGGGAAUGACUGUGUAGUAUGUUGUAGUCUCCUAAUGAGAUAGCUAGUUGUGUGACCUUAGCUAUGAGAAUGUAAAUAUUUCUUUGGUGAUUAAUAAAAUUAAAUUGUUACCAAAAGAAAAGAUGUAUAAUGAAAAAAAUAGAAGAAAAGCCGAGCUAAAAACUUAGUAUCAUAUGUGGCAAUUGUCUCAAACUGAGGCACCAAAGGUCAAAUUUGACCAUGGAUGCCUUCUGCCCUGUAUAGCAAAACAUGGGAAAUUUUACGCCGGAAAUCUACUUUUAUUUGCAAGCAAGAUGGGUUCACGUGUCCCAAGAUUUUUAAUGUGGAAAUGCCCCGGCAACAUAUAAUAUAAAUUGGACCGAACACAAUAACUUUUAUUUAAAUUUUAUAUCUGUUUAAGUUAUUAAUUUAGAAUUCAUAAUUUAAAAAGACAAAAAUCAUCCACCCAUAAACUUUAAAUUAUCUAGCAGCUCAAGUUGCUAUAAUUGUGACUUAGGCCGUGGGCAACGAACGAUCAAAAAGAUCUUCACAAUUUCAUCAAAGUGCUCUUUUAUUCAGUGGUGUACCCAAAAUUCGUGCGCGAGAAAUGUUUGACAUAUGCUUGCAAAUCGAUUUGCAUUAUACUUUGUAUUAUUUUCUAAUAAAAUUGUCUAAUUUUACAUAAUUUAAAGUUUACAUUUAUAAAUUUAAAAAAUUGAGAAGCACUAUCCAUUAACACCCCUUACUGAAAGGUGUUCCCCAAUAGCUGACAUUCUUUAGCAGAGUAGGGAAUACUCCCGUUUUGUUUGUAGAAGUUGCACAACCAAAGAUAUCACAGCUUACCAAUCCAAUUAUGAUGGAUAUUCAAAAUAAUUUUGAAAUUUUACACUACAUGCUGAUUUUUAAUACACAUUUUUGUGUUAGUACAAAUUAGUAUGUAUUACAAUAUAUGCAUAGCUUAUCUCUGAAUCAAAAACGACCGUUAAAUGCACCUGAAAUUGAGGCGGAUCCAAAGCAUUACAUCCGAAUUUACCAGUUGUUAUUGUAUAGUACAAAUUUAAAAUGAUUAUAAAAACUCAUAAAUUUUAAAUUCUAAAUCUGACUCUAUCCUGAAAUACCCUCCUUUGUUUAUACCCAGCGAGGCAGCGGUAGCUGCUUAUUGCCACUUCGAUAAAUAAAUUUUGUAAUCUAAAAAGCAGAAAAACAAAAUAUAAUUCAGCUUUUGGUUGAGGAAAUUUGGGGAAGUUUCUUGAAAUGAAAGUUUACGUCUCAAGCAAGAUUUGCUUGUUCCUUUCUACUUGUAAUCUAAAUACCUUUUCCCUUUCUAUUUAUUUUUCCUUCUCAUUUUUUACUUUUUGGUUUUAGUUUUGUUUUUGCUAAAUUGCUUGAUUCGGUGAUGUUAACAGCCGCGAGAAGUAACACGUGACCAUGGAGAGUGGGAAGUGGUCAAAGUUGAUGCUACCUCAAGAACCACGAGUAAUGCACAAUUUACAAACCGCCUACUGUAGGUCUUACAUAUACAUACACAAAUUAUACGACAUUGACGUGUUUAUAAGUUGGUGACCACAAGCUACUAGAAAAAUUAGCAAAAUUUGCCACGUGCUUAUUUAGCCCUUUUUUUUGUUGCAAAAGUUUCA